ACAUCGUGGGCACUGAUCUGAACACCCAUGAUCGUUGGCAUUCAACUUGAAACAGUUGGUGACUUGGUGUCUUCUCCCAUCUAAAACUCCAGAAACCAGACGUUAGACGUCAUCCCUCCUCCCUUGGCCGACUUGAUAAGUUUUGAAUCCUUCGGAUAACAUCAACUUGUGAUAAAGAUGACAUUUAGGAUGAAGCUUGGUUCCUCUAUUUCACUUUGGAGAAGGAGUCUGGACUCCGAGUUCUGUAUAAAUAGGAGUACCCAUUACUUGAUUCUGCAUUCUCCAUCAAGAACGUACAUUGGACAUAAUUUUGAAAGAAGGCAUUGCAGGCGGUGUUCAAACCAUUGCAGCAAACAUGAUUUUGAAGGAAGACGUUGUAGCUUGACCACAUCUUUUCUAGGAGUUAAUAAACAUUUCUGCCACCAUCUUGUGCCAAGUAAAGGAACCAGAGGACUCCCAUCUCUCUUGUAUUCUGUGGCUGCAGUUUAGUGAUCGAGGGUGAGCCGUGUGAAUGCUGCAAACUCUGUGACCACGGAUGAGCCAAGUCAAAUACCCUUCCGCCAAAGAUUGCCAUUUUGCCUUCUGUGAUACCACUCUGAUGAUGACUUUGCUGCAGGUGGAGUAAAUUUCCUUUGGUGCUGCAUAAAGAUUCCUCCAGAGCAGUUUCUUCACUUUGACGCACCGCGAUACAGGCAUCAAAAACAAGUGCAGUGAACCCUCUAGCUUGGACCUUGCUUCCGCCACCUAUACGCAGGACGCACCGCAGUAUAGGCAUCGAAAGAAGGCCGAAAACACCGGUGAGCCCUUUCCCUUGCCAAAAUCUCUCCUCCUCCUUCAUCUCUGUGAAAAUGCUUCUUUUUUGUCUCCUUGGACCUGCACUGUUUGUUAACACAAAGGCAAAUGGAGGUGUAUUUGGUUGUUUUGUUUUCUGAUUUUGGUGGACAACAAUGAGGGAUUUGAGGCUUUGUGAGUUGGUGUUGUUGGCAUAUUUGGACGGAGUAGUUUGUUUGGGGAAUGAAGGGACUGUUUCUGCCUUUCCGGUGCUUAGAAGUAGAGGCAAGUCUGCACUCACGAAGACAUCAGCAAUAACAGAGGAAAAUAGCAACGAAGAUCAUGAAGAAAGGACCAGCAGGAUACCUGAAGAUGAAGUACUCCUGUUGUAAAUUUGUCGUCUCCAGGUUACCAAGUCCUCUGAUUUUGUAUCUAUUGUAGAAGAAAAUCGUACCAAGAUACAUGUAAAGCUAAUAUUUACCGAUGCUGGAAGCAUUUAGAAUCGCCUUGGAGUUGAGAGCCUGAUCGAAUUGUACUUUGGUGGAGGAUGGGAAUAAUGAUCUGCCAAUAUCUGAUAGUAAUCCCAGCUCGACCAACUUCCAAACAGAGAGGAUAAGCACUACAUCUUCCUUCAUCAACAGAAUCUUCCCUGUAGUUUGUCCGCCAAACAAAGACAGCACGAGCUGAAAUGAGUGAACUGUUGACUAGCUUGUUGUCAAAGACGGAUACAUUAACUGCCACCGUACCAGUGACUGUUCCAGGAAUGAAGCUAUUAGCUAGGCAGCUCAUGGCUUCCUCACAUACUGAACUGAACUCCCUAUCAGCUUUAAUUACUUCUGCGGCUUGAUUUCUUAAACAUACAGGAAAUGAUGAUUCUCGGUCAUGUAUAGAGCUGAAAGGAUUCUGGACUUCUCAAGGACAAGAUGAUCCUCACCUCCUCAGGUUAUACAAUUCUUCUAUUUACAUAAUUUGGCAUAUAGUGUAGAUGCUACUACAUUGAAACUUGAAGCAUUAAGAAUGGCAUUGGAGUUUAUGGGAUGCUAAUUUGAUACCGAGGUUGGAGUAGCUUAGUCAGGCAGCUGAGCAUCUUAUCUAAUUAUGUAUAUAUUGUAGAUGAGAAUCGCACCAGGCUACUUGUACUGCUCAUAUUGAAGCUUGAUGCAUUCAGAAUGGCAUCAGACUAUCAGAGUUUGAAAAUCUUUUGGUUAAUCACAUGGGCCGAUGAUGGAGCUGAGUCAAGAGCAUCUCUUCCAAGCGUCUGGACUUUAUUAGAGUUAUUGGGAAGAGGAUGGGGCAAAUGAGCAUGCAUCCAAUACUUGAUCGGAAGUCAAACUGCUAUUCGUCAAGUUCCUAAACUCUGAAAUUCACCCUCUCAGUCUACUUCACAAGUUUCCUGAACCAGCUCUGAGUAGAGAGGGUCUUGGGGAAGGAUGGAAAGGGUUUGUGUACUCUUUACAAGAGGUUUAUGACAAGAAUGGUGCUUUGGAGAAGAUACGGAGCUUGAAUGGUCACGAUGAUGGCAACUCGAUUUACGAAUCUGUUGUGGUGUUCCACAGCAGAGGUGAGGAAAAAGACGGAUGCCGAGUCGGAGAGAAGAUUUGCUCAGUUUAGGUAGGCAGUCUGUGAGUUUGGUAACUAGUUGCAUUAUGACUAGUGAGUAGUUGUAAUCACCUAUUGAUUUACUGUCAUUUUGAUCGACAUUUUAUGUAAUUACUCAGUAUUCAGUAUUCUACUUAUCAGGCUUUUGCAUGAAAUUA